rnacentral:rRNA from 1 species
AGAUUGAACGCUGGCGGCAGGCCUAACACAUGCAAGUCGAGCGGUAGAGAGGUGCUUGCAUCUCUUGAGAGCGGCGGACGGGUGAGUAAUGCCUAGGAAUCUGCCUAGUGGUGGGGGAUAACGUUCGGAAACGGACGCUAAUACCGCAGUACGUCCUACGGGAGAAAGCGGGGGACCUUCGGGCCUCGCGCCAUUAGAUGAGCCUAGGUCGAUUGCUAGUUGGUGAGUAAUGGCUCACCAAGGCGACGAUCCGUAACUGGUCUGAGAGGAUGAUCAGUCACACUGGAACUGAGACACGGUCCAGACCUCCGUACGGGAGCAGACAGUGGGAAUAGUUAGGACAAGUGGACGAAAGCCUAGA